rnacentral:misc_RNA from 1 species
AUUUUUAUUGACAAACCUGUAAUAGUGCCACUACAAGGCAGUAACAUACGCGGCAACCCAAACACCAAAUUUACAAUAAUAAACACAAACUCUGCACUCCCCCUCCCCCCAAACAGUUCAUUUGACAGUAUCUCUAUUUUUACUAUGAUCAAAGAUUUGAGGCAGCACAAUAUUACACCAGGUUGAGACUUCAAACAACUUGCAUCACAAAGAUCUCUCAACUGCUGAACAGAGUUUAGGAUCCUUUCCUAUAUCUCAAAAUCUUCAAAUCAGGCUGCCAGUACUAUAAUAACAAUAAGGAGCACGAUUCCAAAAAUCACCAGGAGUAAGCAUGUCAGAGAUGAAUUUGAUCUUUGG